rnacentral:rRNA from 12 species
UUUGACCUCGGAUCAGG